CAAACUGUCAAAGGAAAAUCACAAGACGGAGAGAUGUGUCUGUACUUAAAACUGUGUCUCUCUAUGCUUUUACAGACUAUACUUGGACUCCAGUCAUCUGACCGUAGGCCCACAAGAAUCUUUGCUUCAAUUGGAGACAGUGUGCGUUUACCAUGUGGUACAUCCUACAUCAAUUCCUGCUCCUCUGUUACCUGGAGUAUAGUGAAAGAUGGGUUUGAUAACCAAUUAGAACUAUCAGGCAAGGUGAAAGCGGAUGGUCCAAACUCAGGAAGUCGACUGAAAGUGGGACAGGACUGCUCUCUACAUAUUCAACCUCUUGAAAUAGAUGAUGGAAGAGUUUACACCUGUGGAGAUGGGGCUACCAGUUCAAGUGUUUCUCUUCAGCUUCUCAACAUUACUCUGGCAACAGACACCAAUACAGCACCAGAGAUGGAUAUCAAGCUCCAAUGUUACCUGAAUAUAUUCUCAGGCCUUGUCCCACAAUGCAACCAUAGUGGAAUAAAGCUGAAUUGGCUGAAUGAGGCCAAUACAGUGCUACAGGGAGAGAGAUUUCAAACCGAACGUUCAUCUGCUUGCUUCUCUACGCUGACCAUCCGAGGUGUCAGGAAGACAGACCAUCACAGGAAGUGGCGGUGUCAACUGAUUGAAGGAGAGGUUGUGAAGACGUCCCUCAGCUAUACCACAGAAAUUACAGGAGGUAUAGAGGAAGUGUUUGUCGCAGUGGGUGAGUCAGUAUCACUUCCCUGUGCCACCCACUCCUCCCUCGAGGUGGGCAGCAGAUUCCAGUGGACUCUGGGUCAAAGGUCACUGUCCAGUCUGUCUCGGUCAGGCGAUGUCUCAGCUGGAACUCAGGGUCACCUUCCUGCAUCUCACAUCAGCCAAGACGGGUCUUUGGUCAUCAGCAAUGUGAAAACACUGCAUUCUGGGCUCUACAACUGCUCGCAACAGAACAGAAUCCUACUACACACUCUGGAUGUAUCUGCAGACCAUGCUACCACAGAUGGAAAUAAUCUCACCCUGACCUGCUCACUCACCUGUGUGGAAGAUUGUGGAGACUUCAAUUUAUCCUGGAUUCACAGUGGCCAGGAUGGGUUGCAGAGUGGCCUUAUAGGACAUAACAACACCCUCAUCUCCAAACUCUUCCUCCCUGACCGCCAGGGCACAGAGAAGAUAGCCUGCGCCGUGCUCAGAGAGGGGGUUGAAAUGGCUGUAAAGGAGUGGACCAUCCAGAGAGGUCAUGUUCUACCUGCAGUGGUAUGGUCAGUCCUUCUGCUCCUGCUGCUCUGUGCUGUUGGAGGGGGCGUGUAUUGGAAGAGGCAGGGCAAGGGAAGUGCCGCUCAAGGAGAAGAACAGCAGACACCUGUUGGAAUGACUCAUCUCUAUGACGAGAUUCAAGAUCAACCAAUUCAACCUUCCGGAGUAACCAACAACAGUUUCUAUGAUCUUCUGCAGGCUGGGAACUGAGUGUAAUGUCAUGUCCUCUAUCUUUAGGCUAUUAGUUGAGUUUUAAAUCUAAUUGGACUACUUUGUACUUUGCAUUGUUUUGUGGUUUGGAACAUUAUAAGUGUCACCAUGACAUCAAGUCUAUGCAGGUUGUAUUUUAUGGUGGAAAUAAAUUCAUAAAGAAAAUGACCUCUAUAGAAUAUCACCAGUUACCACAGUUAAAAACCCCGGCAUAAGUUGGUUACAGGAACACAUUCAGUAUGACUCCUCAGUGUGGGGGGUUGAUGGCUAAGUCAUCCCACCUCCUGUCUUAAACAUCACUCUGCUGACUUUCACAUCCCACAUGAAACCUGGUAGCUUCUCUUCAGCAGUGUAAAACUGUAGAUGUAUGGGACUGAGACAAGACACAUAAUACAUGAGAGUGAACAGAUAAGUGUGUUUAUUUAAUGCAGGAUGGCAGUGUGUGAGCAUUAGCAAUACAAGUAAAAACCCCAGAACAGCAUGUCUCUGUCUGGAACAGCUCCCAACUACACAUCAUUUGGUGUAGAAAAGCAUCAGCAAAAGUUGUUCCACCAUGGGGUCACAAAUAAAGGAAUAUGUCCAAUCAAAUCAAGCUAAAUACAAUUGGUCACCUCAUCCAUUUGAUUAUUUCAUAACUAAGAUUGUUAUUGUGUAAUACUAUGUAGGCUAUACCAGGGGUUGAAAGAUAAGAUUGUUAUUGUGUAAUAAUAUGUAAAUACUAUGUAGACUAUACCAGGGGUUGAAAGAUAAGAUUGUUAUUGUGUAAUAAUAUGUAAAUACUAUGUAGACUAUACCAGGGGCUGAAAGAUAAGAUUGUUAUUGUGUAAUACUAUGUAAU
ensembl:lncRNA